AGCCCCUUGGCAAUGGGCACGGAGACACCUGUUUGGUGGUGGUGCUCUUAUAUCAGUCAGGGGCAAAGCAGAGGUACAGUUCUUCGUACAUCCUAGCUUGAUGCCUGUGUUGGUGGCCAGAGUUGCUUCAUGCCUAAGGCACAUAA
rnacentral:snoRNA from 1 species